rnacentral:rRNA from 1 species
AUAAACGACUCUCGGCAACGGAUAUCUCGGCUCACGCAUCGAUGAAGAACGUAGCAAAAUGCGAUACUUGGUGUGAAUUGCAGAAUCCCGUGAACCAUSGAGUUUUUGAACGCAAGUUGCGCCCGAAGCCAUUCGGCCGAGGGCACGUCUGCCUGGGCGUCACG